rnacentral:lncRNA from 1 species
CAUCAAUCAGCCAUUUGAUCAACCUACAAACUUCUAUGCGUGUGACCUCAUAGGUUCGAACCUAAGCCGGUAGUAUAAAAACGUCUUUCUAUACUAAUCGAUGUGACCAUUUAGCAAUGGUAUCCGAUGUCCGGAUAGGCCGAAUAUAUACGAAGCAAAUAUUCUGGAAUCCUGGACUAUGGUUACUGUAUAAUUCAAUCCCUUUGACUCCUAAUGCCAGGAUGACUUAGAGCUCACUGU